rnacentral:sRNA from 1 species
GAGGCCUUUUCUUUCCCUCCCCCAAAGGGACUGUUGGCAAAACAGCUUUCUUUGGGAACGCGCCUGUUCACGACGACCAGCCAUCUCCUGGGGAACUCCGGUGGCUGGCGUGUUCCUGCGGCUGUUGAAUAAGUCGCUGUUAGGAGCUGGCACGGCAGGUUCCCGUUUCCGCAUUCCAGGCACCCACAGCGGGCUGGGGGCGGGCACCACUGAGGUCGGCCUGGAGAACCAAGGCAGGUGGCCUCGCCCUGGGAGGAGCAGGGACAGGAGGAGCCCACCUGGGGCUCCCCUGACAGCCACCUGCCCACUUUGUGAUCAGAGCCGUGUUCGGGGAGUCUUUCAGAUGCACAGUCUCUGACAUCAGCUCUCCUGGGACCCUCCAAGAGCACUAGUGUCUAGAAGGCACUAAGGCAUGGCGAGGACAACAUCCUUGCUGCCUCCAGCUGGCGGGCGACCACAGCUACUGCCUGCUCUGUGCUACUGAGCCACUCGGUCUGGAGCCCCCAGGACAGCACCUGCUUCCUGAGGUUGUCCUGGCUCAGCUGUGCACAGCGAUGGUGGAGAACUGGACUCCACAGGCUCACAACCUUCCUGUCAGGUUUCA